UACAGAGGGUGCGAGCGUUAAUCGGAAUUACUGGGCGUAAAGCGUGCGUAGACGGUUAUUUAAGUCGGGGUGUGAAAGCCCCGGGCUCAACCUGGGGAUUGCAUUCGAGACUGAAUAGCUAGGGUACGGUAGAGGGAAGUGGAAUUCCGGUGUAGCGGUGAAAUGCGUAGAUAUCGGAAGGAACAUCAGUGGCGAAAGCGACUUCCUGGACCAGUACCGACGUUCAGGCACGAAAGCGUGGGGAGCAA
rnacentral:rRNA from 1 species